CGUCAGUAGCGGACAGGGUAGGUUGCGGUCUGUGUGUGUAUGUGGAGGAGGCAGUAGUCGCAGCCCACCUGGCCCGGAGGCUGGUCAGGAGGUAGGAGUCGCAGGAUGGAUGCAGCUACUCUGACCUAUGAUACUCUCAGGUUUGAGUAUGAAGACUUCCCUGAGACCAAAGAGCCUGUUUGGAUACUGGGGAGAACAUACAGUGUGUUCACAGAGAAAGAGGAGAUCCUGUUGGAUGUGACAUCUCGGCUUUGGUUCACAUACAGAAAGAACUUUCCUGCCAUUGGAGGAACAGGCCCCACGUCUGAUACUGGCUGGGGCUGCAUGUUGAGGUGUGGUCAGAUGAUCUUCGCUCAGGCAUUAGUCUGCCGGCACUUAGGCAGAGAUUGGAGGUGGGUGAAAGGGAAGAGGCAGACGGAUAAUUACUUCAACAUACUUAAUGCCUUCAUUGACAAAAAAGACAGCUACUACUCCAUCCACCAGAUAGCCCAGAUGGGAGUUGGAGAGGGCAAAUCGAUAGGCCAGUGGUACGGACCAAACACAGUUGCACAAGUGCUCAGAAAACUUGCCACUUUUGAUACAUGGAGCUCAUUGGCAGUGCACAUAGCCAUGGACAACACUGUAGUGAUGGAAGAAAUCAGACGGUUAUGCAAGUCCAAUUUCUUGUGUGCUGGGGCUGCAGCGUUCCCUGCUGCAGAGUCAGACGUGCUCUAUAAUGGGUUCCCGGUUGGAGCAGAGGUUACAGAUAGGUUGUCGCAAUGGAAACCAUUGGUGCUCCUGAUACCUCUUCGCCUUGGGCUCACGGAUAUCAAUGAAGCUUAUAUUGAAACACUAAAGCACUGCUUCAUGAUGCCUCAGUCCCUGGGAGUGAUUGGAGGGAAACCCAACAGUGCUCAUUACUUCAUUGGCUAUGUAGGUGAGGAGCUAAUUUACUUGGACCCCCAUACUACACAACCUGCAAUGGAACCCAGUGACAAUGGCUGUAUCCCUGAUGAGAGCUUCCACUGUCAGCACCCCCCCUGCCGAAUGAGCAUUGCUGAACUUGACCCAUCCAUCGCAGUGGGCUUUUUCUGCAACACAGAGGAAGACUUUAAUAACUGGUGCCAGCAAAUCAAAAAGGAAGUCUGCCAGAGACUGGGAAAGACCCCUGGUUUCCUCAGUCAGUCCCUGCAGCAGCAGUUUAACAAAGUAGCAAUGAGAAAAGGAAUUGAAGUGCACCGCAACCUUCUGAAAUUGCAUAAGGAAUUUGGCUGUCCUUGCUAAGAGGAGCUCUGCCAAUGUUUGAACUGGUAGAACAUCAGCCAUCACACUUUUCCAGCCCUGAUGUUCUGAAUCUCACACCAGACUCUUCUGAUGCAGACAGGUUGGAAAGAUUCUUUGACUCGGAGGAUGAAGACUUUGAAAUCUUAUCUCUUUGAAAAUAGAUAGGAAACUGACUGCACGUCUAUGUUGUGGGGUGGGGUGGGGUGGGGGGAAGAAGUUCCUUCAAGCACAUGGGCCCUUACUGGUUUUCAUAGGUGCUUGGUGACCUCCCUGCCUCCCAUCCAUCCCAGCAUUCUGUGCAGUCUCAAGCACAGUGUGCACUGUCUGCAUUGGGAUCAAGAAACAAGUCAUCAUUAAGGCUUCAGUGGCCAGAGUCAGGAUUUCUCAGCGCAAAACACGUGCAAGAAGUGGAUGCAGUGGUGCCAAGGAGUUCAAAGUUUUGUUUGUUGCAGCAGCAGCAGCUCAGCUGCCCCUACAAGAGUAACAGCAGAAAUCCCCCAUGGAGCUAAACCCUUAUGAGUAUUUCCCAGUGAUAUUUAAUCAGAGCUAUUCCUCUUUUGGGGGGUCAAAACCUAUACUGUUGCUAGUUCCUUCCACAGCUUUCCUGCUUAUGGCUGACUUGGGCUAAACUUAGAUUUAUGGAAAGCAAUGUAAAUUAAUAUCAGGCAUAUCCCAUAUGGAGCCUCCAGCCCAGUAGUAUGUGAGCUAGUCACUUGGAUGGUCACGUUUUCCAUAGUAAUAGGCCACACGCUGCUGCUCAUGUUUAAUAAUAGUUGCAGUGCUUUCUCACAAAAAACAGUGCUAUCUGUCUUCACUGUACCUAGAAGCUGCCUGCUCUUAUAAAGGGCAACCUUCUCUCAGAGGUGAAGCACUUCCUCUCUGGACAUUACCCUGAGGUUUUCCACAAGGUCUGAAGAUGACAACCAAAAGGGGAGGAGAAUCCCAGUUUAAAUAAAAGGAGGAAGGAAGAAAAUUAUGUAUGUGAGGGCCAUAGUCUCAUGGCUGAGUCAUCGAAACACCAAGGCUCUGAAAAAGAUGGAUUGACAAAUACAGCAGUGAGGUGUCUUCAUUAAAGUGUCUGUUAAGAGAGCUAGACAGAGUCCUGUGAGAGGUUGAGAUGUUUAUAAAUCUUAAGAGCCUGAUAUUGCUUUUAGUUAAAAAUGAUUGAGGGGGGCCUGAGGCAGAACAGGAAGACUGAGAAUUUACCAUGUCCUUUCUCAUACCUAAACCCUUUCCUGACUCCAUACGGUGCCUGGUGUUGGUAUGUAAGGUUUCACCUUUGUGAAUUAGUCCUUAACCCAACAGUUUUUGGUGCCACAAAGCAUCCUGUGUAGCACCACUCCUCCUGGGUAGAUUGAAUAGUUCCAGCUACUGCUCCCAUUUGACUCUGUGCUUUCAAAAUGAUGUAUAAGGGGGCUUGAAAUUUAAUUGGACAUAGAAUAUAUGUUUGGUACCAUUUCAGAUACUAUUCUGCAGCUUCCCUCUAUAUGAUCCUUCUAGCACAGUGUGGCAAAUGCAUACUGUAGAAGCUAGGCCAAAGAAACCUAUUUUAAGUGAUCAUCUGAAGAGGUCAGGAAAAAACUGGUUGCCUAGAAAAGUUGAUAGUUAAAUAUCAAACACAACUGUACUGGAAACCUUGGAGUUACUUUAAUAACUUUACAUGAUCUUGCCUGUGGCCCAUAAUAUCUAUUUAGUAAAAAUGAGCUGGAUCAAAACCAGAUGUAUAGGAGAACUGUGUCCUGGUGUGAGCCACCAUAGAAGUGAAGUCUUCUCCUUUCUCCAGGACUUCUGCAGAUGGCAAAUUCAUGUUUGCAAUGCAUUUGGGAACAGCACUUGUCAGUUGAUGCUUUUGUGCCCAGAAGGUACAUAAACGCUCUCCUCCAUGACAAGGCUGACUGACAUAGUGAUGCUAAUCUUAUUAUCUACCCUUAAUCUCCCAGAGAUUUUAACUCUUGAGCCAUGAUGCUUCUGUCACUAAAUUACUUGCUGCUUUCUCUCUGCUGCUGUUCCUCCUCAUCUCUUGCAUUAAUUUUAAGGGGGGGGCGGGGAGAUAGUGGAGGAAGUGGGGCUGUGCUCCAUUCAUCAACUGCUUUCAAUUUGUAUCUGAAUAAACAAACUUAAAAUCUU